GCGGCCUAUCAGCUAGUUGGUGAGGUAGUGGCUCACCAAGGCGACGACGGGUAGCCGGCCUGAGAGGGCGACCGGCCACACUGGGACUGAGACACGGCCCAGACUCCUACGGGAGGCAGCAGUGGGGAAUAUUGCACAAUGGGCGAAAGCCUGAUGCAGCGACGCCGCGUGAGGGAUGACGGCCUUCGGGUUGUAAACCUCUUUCAGCAGGGAAGAAGCGAAAGUGACGGUACCUGCAGAAGAAGCGCCGGCUAACUACGUGCCAGCAGCCGCGGUAAUACGUAGGGCGCAAGCGUUGCCCGGAAUUAUUGGGCGUAAAGAGCUCGUAGGCGGCUUGUCACGUCGGUUGUGAAAGCCCGGGGCUUAACCCCGGGUCUGCAGUCGAUACGGGCAGGCUAGAGUUCGGUAGGGGAGAUCGGAAUUCCUGGUGUAGCGGUGAAAUGCGCAGAUAUCAGGAGGAACACCGGUGGCGAAGGCGGAUCUCUGGGCCGAUACUGACGCUGAGGAGCGAAAGCGUGGGGAGCGAACAGGAUUAGAUACCCUGGUAGUCCACGCCGUAAACGGUGGGCACUAGGUGUGGGCAACAUUCCACGUUGUC
rnacentral:rRNA from 1 species